rnacentral:rRNA from 1 species
GACGAACGCUGGCGGCGUGCUUAACACAUGCAAGUCGAACGGAAAGGCCCUGCUUUUGUGGGGUGCUCGAGUGGCGAACGGGUGAGUAACACGUGAGUAACCUGCCCUUGACUUUGGGAUAACUUCAGGAAACUGGGGCUAAUACCGGAUAGGAGCUCCUGCUGCAUGGUGGGGGUUGGAAAGUUUCGGCGGUUGGGGAUGGACUCGCGGCUUAUCAGCUUGUUGGUGGGGUAGUGGCUUACCAAGGCUUUGACGGGUAGCCGGCCUGAGAGGGUGACCGGCCACAUUGGGACUGAGAUACGGACCAGACUCCUACGGGAGGCAGCAGUGGGGAAUAUUGCACAAUGGGCGGAAGCCUGAUGCAGCAACGCCGCGUGCGGGAUGACGUCCUUCGGGUUGUAAACCGCUUUCGCCUGUGACGAAGCGUGAGUGACGGUAAUGGGUAAAGAAGCACCGGCUAACUACGUG